rnacentral:lncRNA from 1 species
GAGUCCUUCCUUGGAGAGUGUCCUAGGCCUGGCGGGUUCGUUUAUCUUUUUUCUUUCUCCAGAAUGGAGUGGAAGACACUCUGUCUGAGACCUCAGUUUCAUCUCUGCCUGGAAUAGUCAAGAAGCUCCAUUGAUGCUUGUAAGGGAUUUUCUGCUAGAAUUGAGUCUUCUGUCCCAAAGAACUGUCAGAAGUGACAGAAAUGCACAAGUGGGAGGAGAAAUGUGAUCAGUCACUCAUAAGAGAAAAUGAAAUGAAUGGAAAUCAUUUUAAAUGGGAUCUUCAGUUUGGGAAUACUAAGAGGAGCAUAAUUAUUAUUGCUGACAUCUUGCAAAGCACAGUACACUUCACUGUCACGUCAUGUCAAAACUGGCUAAUUGUGCAAGAUUCCAGAAAAAAAUCCAAAGACCGUACAGUUAGACUCCAAAUACAGAAAAAAUAUCUAACAAAGAAUCUAACAUACAGUAAUCCUAGCCUCCCUGUAUCAUCGUUAGAAAAGCCCUGAGAGAGAAGAGCCAUUCAUUUAGUAUGUUUUAUUGUUUUCCAGUUUAGCUUUAAGUAUAAGCAGCAGAUUUCUUACCAUUUAUUAUGGUAGUUGUAUU